rnacentral:RNase_P_RNA from 2 species
AGAGUUGGCUAGACAAUCGCUGGAUCGGCUUGCCGGUCUGGAGGAAAGUCCGGGCUCCAUAGGGUAAAGUGCCAGGUAACGCCUGGGGGGUGAAAGCCCACGGAAAGUGCAACAGAAAGUAAACCGCCUGACAUAUUUUUAUGUUCGGUAAGGGUGAAAGGGUGCGGUAAGAGCGCACCGCGUCGGUGGUAACAUCGUACGGCACGGCAAACCCCACUCGGAGCAAGACCAAAUAGGGAUCCAUGGGUGCGACCCGCACUGGAUCCGGGUAGGUUGCUUGAGGUAUGCGGUGACGCAUAUCCCAGAGGAAUGGUUGUCCACGACAGAACCCGGCUUAUCGGCUGACUCUCAAU